rnacentral:rRNA from 1 species
GAUGAACGCUGGCGGCGUGCCUAAUACAUGCAAGUCGAGCGAACAGAUGAGGAGCUUGCUCCUCUGACGUUAGCGGCGGACGGGUGAGUAACAAGUGGAUAACCUACCUAUAAGACUGGGAUAACUUCGGGAAACCGGAGCUAAUACCGGAUAAUAUAUUGAACCGCAUGGUUCAAUAGUGAAAGACGGUUUUGCUGUCACUUAUAGAUGGAUCCGCGCCGCAUUCGCUAGUUGGUAAGGUAACGGCUUACCAAGGCAACGAUGCGUAGCCUACCUGAGAGGGUGAGCGGCCACACUGGAAUGGAGAAGCGGUCCAGACUACUACGGGAGGCAGCGGUAGGGAAUCUUCCGCAAUGGGCGAAAGCCUGACGGGGCAACGCCGCGUGAGUGAUGAAGGUCUUCGGAUCGUAAAACUCUGUUAUUAGGGAAGAACAAAUGUGUAAGUAACUAUGCACGUCUUGACGGUACCUAAUCAGAAAGCCACGGCUAACUACGUG